GGUUGUCAUUCCGAGUGGAGCGAGGAAUCUGGGUUAAACUCCUGAUGACUUGACCCAGAUUCCUCGCUCCACUCGGAAUGACAGUC
rnacentral:miRNA from 1 species